UACGAAGGGGGGCUAGCGUUGCUCGGAUUGACUGGGCGUAAAGGGCGCGUAGGCGGUUCGUACAGUCAGACGUGAAAUUCCUGGGCUCAACCUGGGGGCUGCGUUUGAUACGUGCGGACUUGAGUGCGGAAGAGGGUCGUGGAAUUCCCAGUGUAGAGGUGAAAUUCGUAGAUAUUGGGAAGAACACCGGUGGCGAAGGCGGCGACCUGGUCCGAUACUGACGCUGAGGCGCGAAAGCCAGGGGAGCGAACGGG
rnacentral:rRNA from 1 species